UAGGCGCACUUAAAGUUAUAGCUACAUCAGUUAUAACUUUAAGUGCGCCUAGG
rnacentral:miRNA from 1 species